GAGUUUGAUCCUGGCUCAGAACGUACGCUGGCGGCACGCCUAACACAUGCAAGUCGAACGAAGUAGCAAUACUUAGUGGCAGACGGGUGAGUAACAUGUGGGUAUCUACCCUUUGGCCUGGAAUAACACGAGGAAACUUGUGCUAAUACCGGAUAAGUCUUUACGGAGAAAGCUUUAUGCACCAUUGGAUGAGCCCGCACUUGAUUAGUUUGUUGGUAGGGUAAUGGCCUACCAAGACUAUGAUCAAUAGCUGAUUUGAGAGGAUGAUCAGCCACAUUGGGACUGAGACACGGCCCAAACUCCUACGGGAGGCAGCAGUGGGGAAUCUUGCACAAUGGAGGAAACUCUGAUGCAGCGAUGCCGCGUGAGUGAAGAGGGCCCUUGGGUUGUAAAGCUCUUUCGUCGGGGAAGAAAAUGACUGUACCCGAAUAAGAAGGUCCGGCUAACUUCGUGCCAGCAGCCGCGGUAAUACGAAGGGACCUAGCGUAGUUCGGAAUUACUGGGCUUAAAGAGUUCGUAGGUGGUUGAAAAAGUUGGUGGUGAAAUCCCAGAGCUUAACUCUGGAACUGCCAUCAAAACUUUUCAGCUAGAGUAUGAUAGAGGAAAGCAGAAUUUCUAGUGUAGAGGUGAAAUUCGUAGAUAUUAGAAAGAAUACCAAUUGCGAAGGCAGCUUUCUGGAUCAUUACUGACACUGAGGAACGAAAGCAUGGGUAGCGAACAGGAUUAGAUACCCUGGUAGUCCACGCCGUAAACGAUGUCUACUAGCCGUUGGGAGACUUGAUCUCUUAGUGGCGCAGUUAACGCGAUAAGUAGACCGCCUGGGGAGUACGGCCGCAAGGUUAAAACUCAAAUGAAUUGACGGGGGCCCGCACAAGCGGUGGAGCAUGUGGUUUAAUUCGACGCAACGCGAAGAACCUUACCAGGUCUUGACAUCCUAGAAACUUAGCAGAGAUGCUUUGGUGCCUUCGGGAAUCUAGUGACAGGUGCUGCAUGGCUGUCGUCAGCUCGUGUCGUGAGAUGUUGGGUUAAGUCCCGUAACGAGCGCAACCCUUGUCCUUAGUUGCCAGCACGUAAUGGUGGGAACUCUAAGGAGACUGCCGGUGACAAACCGGAGGAAGGUGGGGACGACGUCAAGUCAUCAUGGCCCUUACGACCUGGGCUACACACGUGCUACAAUGGCCAGUACAGAGGGCCGCAAACCCGCGAGGGGGAGCCAAUCUCAGAAAGCCGGUCGUAGUCCGGAUUGUUGUCUGCAACUCGACAGCAUGAAGUCGGAAUCGCUAGUAAUCGCGGAUCAGCAUGUCGCGGUGAAUACGUUCCCGGGCCUUGUACACACCGCCCGUCACACCAUGGGAGUGGGUUUUACCAGAAGUAGUUAGUCUAUCCGCAAGGGGGACGAUUACCACGGUAGGAUUCAUGACUGGGGUGAAGUCGUAACAAGGUAACC
rnacentral:rRNA from 1 species